UACGUAGGGGGCUAGCGUUGUCCGGAAUCAUUGGGCGUAAAGAGCGUGUAGGCGGCCCGGUAAGUCCGCUGUGAAAGUCGGGGGCUCAACCCUCGGAUGCCGGUGGAUACUGUCGGGCUCGAGUACGGAAGAGGCGAGUGGAAUUCCUGGUGUAGCGGUGGAAUGCGCAGAUAUCAGGAGGAACACCGAUGGCGAAGGCAGCUCGCUGGGACGGUACUGACGCUGAGGCGCGAAAGCGUGGGGAGCGAACAGG
rnacentral:rRNA from 1 species